rnacentral:rRNA from 1 species
AAUAGAUACCCCGGUAGUCCACGCCGUAAACGAUGAGUGCUAAGUGUUAGAGGGUUUCCGCCCUUUAGUGCUGCAGCUAACGCAUUAAGCACUCCGCCUGGGGAGUACGGUCGCAAGACUGAAACUCAAAGGAAUUGACGGGGGCCCGCACAAGCGGUGGAGCAUGUGGUUUAAUUCGAAGCAACGCGAAGAACCUUACCAGGUCUUGACAUCCCACUGACCGGUAUAGAGAUAUACCUUUCCCUUCGGGGACAGUGGUGACAGGUGGUGCAUGGUUGUCGUCAGCUCGUGUCGUGAGAUGUUGGGUUAAGUCCCGCAACGAGCGCAACCCUUGAUCUUAGUUGCCAGCAUUUAGUUGGGCACUCUAAGGUGACUGCCGGUGACAAACCGGAGGAAGGUGGGGAUGACGUCAAAUCAUCAUGCCCCUUAUGACCUGGGCUACACACGUGCUACAAUGGAUGGUACAAAGGGCUGCAAGACUGCGAAGUCAAGCCAAUCCCAUAAAAACCAUUCUCAGUUCGGAUUGCAGG